rnacentral:rRNA from 1 species
UUGACCUCAAAUCAGGUGGGACUACCCGCUGAACUUAAGCAUAUCAAUAAGCGGAGGAAAAGAAACUAACAAGGAUUCCCCUAGUAACUGCGAGUGAAGCGGGAAAAGCUCAAAUUUAAAAUCUGGCGGCUUCGUCGUCCGAGUUGUAAUUUAGAGAAGCGUUUUCCGCGCCGGACCGUGUACAAGUCUCCUGGAACGGAGCGUCAUAGAGGGUGAGAAUCCCGUCUUUGACACGGACCCCGGUGCUCUGUGAUACGCUCUCGAAGAGUCGAGUUGUUUGGGAAUGCAGCUCAAAAUGGGUGGUGAACUCCAUCUAAAGCUAAAUAUUGGCGAGAGACCGAUAGCGAACAAGUACCGUGAGGGAAAGAUGAAAAGCACUUUGGAAAGAGAGUGAAACAGUACGUGAAAUUGCUGAAAGGGAAACGCUUGAAGUCAGUCGCGUCCGCCGGGAUUCAGCCGCAUGGUGUACUUUCCGGUGGACGGGCCAGCAUCACUUUUGACCGCCGGAAAAGGGCGGAGGGAAUGUGGCACCUUCGGGUGUGUUAUAGCCCUUCGUCGUAUACGGUGGUCGGGAGUGAGGACCGCCUUUGUAGGAUGCUGGCGUAAUGGCUUUAAACGACCCGUCUUGAAACACGGACCAAGGAGUCUAACAUGCCCGCGAGUGUUCGGGUGGAAAACCCGU